CUACGGGCGGCAGCAGUGAGGAAUAUUGGGCAAUGGAGGCAACUCUGACCCAGCCAUGCCGCGUGCAGGAAGACGGCCCUCUGGGUUGUAAACUGCUUUUGUUUGGGAAUAAACCCUUCUACGUGUAGGAGGCUGAAGGUACCAUUCGAAUAAGGAUCGGCUAACUCCGUGCCAGCAGCCGCGGUAAUACGGAGGAUCCAAGCGUUAUCCGGAUUUAUUGGGUUUAAAGGGUCCGUAGGCGGGUCUUUAAGUCAGUGGUGAAAGCCCACAGCUCAACUGUGGAACUGCCAUUGAUACUGGAGAUCUUGAGUGUAGUAGAAGUAGGCGGAAUAGGGCAUGUAGCGGUGAAAUGCAUAGAUAUGCCCUAGAACACCGAUUGCGAAGGCAGCUUACUAUGUUACAACUGACGCUGAGGGACGAAAGCGUGGGGAGCAAACAGGAUUAGAUACCCCUGUAGUC
rnacentral:rRNA from 1 species